CUCGCAUUCAGUACAAGACCAUGGUGCUUGCCUAAAAAAAAUAAUUCCACUUUGGGCCUCAUCACGGAGCUCUUUGGUAAGGUCAUCCAUUAAGAUCCUCUCAGUAGGCCUCAACGCAGAGCUCUUCAGUGGGGACCUUCCAUUGAGAGAGAACCUCUGUGGGCCUCACUUGAUAUGAAAUUGCUUGGCAUCCAACCGUAAGGCGCUACAGAGGGUAGUGUGUACGGCCCAACACAUCACUGGUGCCGAGCUCCCUGGCAUCCAGGACCUCUAUACCAGACAGUGUCAAUGGCAAGUGGCAUCUACCCAAGUUAUAUAUAUCUAGCCAAGUUACAUCGUUUGUCAUUGUGUAUUUAUUCCUUGUAUUAUUAUUUUUCUAUUUAUAUAUUUUUCUCUCUGCAUUGUCGGGAAGGGCAAGCUACAACGGUGUUUGUCAGACCAUGAAAUCGUUCUUCUCACGGAAAGAGUCACGGGACUCGUCUGAAGGUGUGUCACGCUGGAGCUGCACCUGGCCACCUGUUUCCAGCCUGUUUAACGGACGCAUCCAACUGCAGGUUCUCGUUGCCGUAACAAAGGGGUUGUGUAGGUCUACAAUCUUGUCCCUGACAUCCUUGGAGAGCUCUUUGGUCUUGGCCAUGGUGGAGAGUUUGGAAUCUGAUUGAUUGCUUCUGUAGACAGGUGUCUUUUAUACAGGUAAUAAACUGAGAUUAGGAGCACUCCCUUUAAGAGUGUGCUCCUAAUCUCAGCUCGUUACCUGUAUAAAAGACCCCUGGGAGCCAGAAAUCUUUCUGAUUGAGAGGGGUCAAAUACUUAUUUCCCUCAUUAAAAUGUAAAUCAAUUUAUAACAUUUUUGACAUGCG
rnacentral:lncRNA from 1 species